UACGUAGGGUGCGAGCGUUAAUCGGAAUUACUGGGCGUAAAGUGUGCGCAGGCGGCGUCGCAAGUCGAGUGUAAAAGCCCCGAGCUUAACUUGGGAAUUGCGCUCGAAACUACGAUGCUGGAGUGUGGCAGAGGAAGGUGGAAUUCCACGUGUAGCGGUGAAAUGCGUAGAGAUGUGGAGGAACACCGAUGGCGAAGGCAGCCUUCUGGGCCAACACUGACGCUCAUGCACGAAAGCGUGGGGAGCAAACAGG
rnacentral:rRNA from 1 species